GUUCUGUGGACUGUGGCUCUCAUGGUGUUUGCAUGGGUGGAACGUGUCAUUGCGAAAAAGGUUGGACUGGACCAGCCUGCAAUCGAAGAGCCUACCACCCUCGCUGUGCUGAACAUGGAACCUGUAAAGAUGGGAGGUGUGAAUGUAGCCAGGGGCGGAAUGGCAAGCGCUCUGGUGUCUUGGCUAAACCAGUUGUUGAGCCACAUGUAAUGGCAGUUUGGGGGAAGAAUGUCACCCUGAAAUGCAUAAUUGAAAUAAGUGGAACAAUAACACAAAUCUCAUGGGAGAAGAUGCAUGGUAAAAGUAAACAGACCAUUGCUGUUCAUCAUCCUAAAUAUGGGUUUGCUGCUCAAGGAGAAUACCAAGGAAGAGUGUCAUUUAAGAACAACUCACUUACUGAUGCAACCAUCACCCUACACAAUAUAAGCUUCUCUGAUUCAGGAGAAUAUGUAUGCAAAGCAGUUACAUUCCCGCUAGGAAAUGCUGAGUCAUCAACGACUGUAACUGUAUUGGAUGCCCCUGAAGUUUCAAUAACUGGGUAUGAUGGAAACUGGUUCAUUGGAAGAGAGCGUGUUCAGCUCCGGUGUAAUGCUAACGCAAAUCCACCACCCACGGACUUUACAUGGA